CUGGAUCCCCCAAUUGGUUUACUCCAAGGAAUAUGUUUAAUACUGUUCAGAAGAAGAGAAGGAAAGAAAAGCAAAAAGAACAGAGGAAAAGAAAGCCAGAGGCAAGGAAUAAAAAAGUCCUAUACAAAAAGACUCCACCACGAAGAAGAUUGAGAGGCACAAGGAAAAUCAACCCUGAGAAGUAAAUACUGUUGCUGUCAUCCCCAUUUUACAAAUGAGGAAACAAAAAUAGAGAAAUGAAGCAAUUUGUUCAAGAUCACUCUGCUAGCAAGCAACAGAACCAGGAGUUUAACCCAGAGCAUAGCAGAGAACAAACAAGGAGGAGGAAGAACAGGAGGAGGAGGGGGAAAAGAGGAGGAAGAAGAAAGAAAGACUAAAGAAGAAGAAAGAAGGAAGGAGGAGGGGAGAAAAAGAAAAUAAUAAUGAUAGUCUCAAUUUUAGACUAUUAUGUACCAUAUUAAGGACUUAACAUUCACUCCCUCACUCAUACAUUUUUUGA
rnacentral:lncRNA from 1 species